rnacentral:rRNA from 1 species
GAUGAACGCUGGCGGCGUGCCUAAUACAUGCAAGUCGAGCGAACAGAUAAGGAGCUUGCUCCUUUGACGUUAGCGGCGGACGGGUGAGUAACACGUGGGUAACCUACCUAUAAGACUGGAAUAACUCCGGGAAACCGGGGCUAAUGCCGGAUAACAUUUAGAACCGCAUGGUUCUAAAGUGAAAGAUGGUUUUGCUAUCACUUAUAGAUGGACCCGCGCCGUAUUAGCUAGUUGGUAAGGUAACGGCUUACCAAGGCAACGAUACGUAGCCGACCUGAGAGGGUGAUCGGCCACACUGGAACUGAGACACGGUCCAGACUCCUACGGGAGGCAGCAGUAGGGAAUCUUCCGCAAUGGGCGAAAGCCUGACGGAGCAACGCCGCGUGAGUGAUGAAGGUCUUCGGAUCGUAAAACUCUGUUAUUAGGGAAGAACAAAUGUGUAAGUAACUGUGAACGUCUUGACGGUACCUAAUCAGAAAGCCACGGCUAACUACGUG